rnacentral:rRNA from 1 species
UACGGGGGGCAAGCGUUGCUCGGAAUCACUGGGCGUAAAGGGUGCGUAGGCGGGUCUUUAAGUCAGGGUGAAAUCCUGGAGCUCAACUCCAGAACUGCCUUUGAUACUGACGGUCUUGAGUUCGGGAGAGGUGAGUGGAACUGCGAGUGUAGAGGUGAAAUUCGUAGAUAUUCGCAAGAACACCAGUGGCGAAGGCGGCUCACUGGCCCGAUACUGACGCUGAGGUGCGAAAGCGUGGGAGCAAACAGGG